rnacentral:lncRNA from 1 species
CGGCGGCAGUGAAGCCAGGGCUGAACUCUGGUGCCGGGGACAGAGCAGUGUGGUGUCAGGCGCUGCAGGACUGCAACGCCAAGACUGGGGGCCAGAUGCCCAAGCUAAGGGACCCAUGACUCCGCUGUGACCUUGGAACUUGUCCUUGGAAGGAGGAGGGGAGUUGACCGCAUAAGGAAGGAAGUCCUCCAGCCACCACCUCACCCAGCCUAGUUUGGGUGUCCUGACUGUGCUCCCACAGCACAUUUAUAACGCAUGCUAUAAUGUACCUGCAACUGUAAGCUGGAGAGCUGCCACCCCUGGUCUGUGGGCCCUUGGAGGGCCGGGGCCUCAUCUUAUUCCUGCCGCACCCCAUGAACCUGUGUUGGCCAACUUGGAUGGCAGGGGAAGAUCAACAGAAGGUGCCCUCCACCCACGUCCUCCCAGCGCUCACCUUGGUCAGCCUGGGGGCCAAGGCCGCCCGCCCGCCCGCCCGUCCUACUUAAGAGUGGCCCAGUGCUCUGGGGAUGAGAUUAAACACCAGCUUACACCCUGUGGGGGAGAAUGAAAGUUGGAGCAAGAAAUAAAAACCCAAACAAAAAAAUGCAGCUAAUUCCAUCCUGUCAGCGGUGGAUAUUAAAGACUAUG